UACGUAGGGUGCAAGCGUUGUCCGGAAUUAUUGGGCGUAAAGAGCUUGUAGGCGGUUUGUCGCGUCUGCUGUGAAAUUUCGGGGCUCAACCCCGAACUUGCAGUGGGUACGGGCAGACUAGAGUGUGGUAGGGGAGACUGGAAUUCCUGGUGUAGCGGUGAAAUGCGUAGAUAUCCGGAGGAACACCGGUGGCGAAGGCGGCUUCCUGGACCGACACUGACGCUGAGGCGCGAAAGCUAGGGGAGCAAACGGG
rnacentral:rRNA from 1 species